GGCGGAACCUGGACUCUUCCUCCAUGGUGUUUUCUUUCAAAAACUCAUUUUCUUUCUUCAUUAAAACUAUAAAAACAUGUAAAACAUUUAUAAAAACAUAUUUUACCCUUUUAGAGGGUUCCGACAUUCGAGAUUCCGCCGGAAAGUAGGAAUUCUGAUGCCGGGGUCUAGCCGGGUAUUACAACUAGGCGAUCGUUACUAGCUGGGUGCGAUUGAAAUGGACAACCUGUACAACAAUACCAUACACUCUACCACGGAGUGUGUCUUAUCUGUUUACAUGACCAAGGAACACAACAAAG
rnacentral:lncRNA from 1 species